rnacentral:pre_miRNA from 1 species
UCUUGUGGAUGAACAAAACAAGUGAUUUUUUGAGAUGGAAUCUAUUCUUGUUGAAGAUACUGUGAA